rnacentral:lncRNA from 7 species
GAUAAAGAAGAUCCCAAAGCCACACAAGCUAGAGAACAAUGCAGAAUGGAAGCGGUGGCGGCGGCGGCCUCGCUGCCGGAGUGCGGCUCCACCGGUGGACUGCUCAUCAGUGUCACUCACUGCCUGCUGCCAGGGGCCAAGUGCUUCAUCGUCGUUUGACCUUGCGUUCCAUUGAAGACUCGUUUUCUCAAAAAUUCCUUCCGUUCUAGAUUAAGACCUGCUCUAGAUCGUCACGGCUUUGGUAGGAGACCUUGAAGCGUCCUUUAAUCGACAUCUUGAAUAAUUCAUGUAGUCAGCUUGGUCAUAAUUGUUCGUAUUUGUGCAACUAAACAGCACGGCUCGAAGUCUUUUGACUUUCUAAGCGACAUGUACAAUUGUGGCAUAGCAAGAGCCGGCUACAAUCUCA